rnacentral:rRNA from 1 species
CCCUUAGAUGUUCUGGGCUGCACGCGCGCUACACUGAAGCUAUCAACACGUUUACCCUCCCUGAGAAGGGCGGGUAACCUUUUGAAUCAGCUUCGUGGUAGGGAUCGGGGCUUGCAAUUGUUCCCCGUGAACCAGGAAUUCCUAGUAGACGCGAGUCAUAAGCUCGCAUCGAUUAAGUCCCUGCCCUUUGUACACACCGCCCGUCGCUACUACCGAUUGAACGUUUUAGUGAGGCAUUUGGACCGACGCAUCUCAGUUUAACCGCUGGUUUGUGUUGGAAAGACUUCCAAACUUGAGCGUUUAGAGGAAGUAAAAGUCGUAACA